UAAACCAACAAAUAAAAUCAUUAAAACAUGUAUAAAUUAAUAAUAGAAUAUAUACUUAUGUUACUUCUUUGGAUAGUGUCUGUCAUAAAUUAUUAUAGGAAGUUAAGAGGAGCAAUGAUCAGUGUGGAUUUAUAACAAAAGGAUUUAGGUAGGAUAUGAGAUUUGAACUUAACCUUGAAGAAUAAAUCAGAUAUUAAAAUCUUGGUAGAAAAUAAGAAGACGAAGAAAAGCUUAGAUAUGGAGUUAUUCUGAACAUGCUGACUGCUAGGAGAGUAUAUGUUGGGGAGUUACAGAAAAUAAAAUUAAGAUAAAGUCAGAACAGUGGAGGGUUUUCAGUAAACACCAAAAGAAGGCGUUGGACUUGAUUCCUUAGUCAAAAGAUAUUAAGAUUUAGAACUGGAAAAGAUCUCAGAGACCACCUAGGCCAAAUACCCUAUUUUACAGAAAAGAAAACAAUGAGUUAAAGUAAUUUUCUCAAGGUUACACAGGCAGUAAGUUACUGAGCCUGGAUUCAAACUCAGAUCCUCUGAAUCUGAAGCUAGUACUUUCCAAUCACAUUCUAAAGCAGGAAUGACUUGAUAAGAGUCAUGUAGAUGGAAGAUUAAUUUAUUAGUUGUAUUUUGAGGUAAUAGAAUUGAGGAGAAACUAGGAGUUUGGAGAUCAAUUAGGGUCUAUUAAGAAAUUUAGUCCCCAAAUGAUGAAUAUCUUCCUGGACAAAAGAUGUAGCUGUAGAAAUAAAGAAGGAAAGAAGCUGAGAAAGAAGUCUGGGUCCAAGUAGAUGUAUGUGGUGGAGGAGUGGAUGGAAUCAAAGAUAAGUGCCAACUUUUACAUUUUGAGACUGCAUGUUUAAGAUAAUGGUGGGAUUAAUGGUGGUACUCUAACAAAAGGGAGAAAAAGAUAGGGAACACCACUACAGCAGGAAUGUAAAGGAGAAUGAUGCCUUUUUCUUUAUUUUCUAGAGAUGGAAGUAAGAAGUUGGAACUAUGAUUUCACCAUUACAAGGAUUUCCAGGACAAGUGCAGCUGAGAGAUGUGCCAAGCCUGGAAUGGUGCCCAGACCCACUGGGGCUGAGGGCCAGUUGUUCAACAAGAAGCCUCUCAUGCUGGGAGGUCAGACAGCAUGA
rnacentral:lncRNA from 1 species